rnacentral:tRNA from 1 species
GCCUCUACAGACGGAUCUGAUCCGACGCUACGAACGUCGGGGGCCUGGUUCAACUCCAGGUAGAGGUACCA